GCUAGGUAGUUGUCUGGGAGGGUUGGUGCAUCAUCUUUCCAUGGGAAUUUUGCUGCGUAACUGCCAUUUGGGUUUCUGGUAAUAGAGGUGUUGAUGUAAUUUUCCAGGAAAUCUUGUUGGUUUUCAGUGCAGGAUGGCGGAGUGAUGCCAAUAGAUUCGAGGGACCAGAAUCUUUCUAGAUCAAGUUCUGUUCUUUUGGUGGAUCUGACUGUCUGCAACAGGCUCACAAGGGUGUUGGAGGGUCUGGAAGGUGUUGGUAAUGGCCCAGAGAGAAGAUAACCAAGUUUUGAUGCAACAGCAGUGGGUCCCUGACCACGAAUCACUUCAUCUUCUACUAUAUCCCAGUAAUGGUCGGCUCCGAUAAGCAAUGAUAUACGAAAGUCCUCUUGAGCUGCAAUAGGAUGGGCUAGGAUUAAAUUCUUCAGGUGGGGCAUAUCAUUUAUAUGUUGACGAGGUGGAAUUUGGAGGGGCGUUGCUAUCACCUCAACUACAAGAACUUGUAAUGGAAUUUGUUGUCCAGUACGGGUGAUGAUAUAAACAGUAGCAAGUGGUAGGUGACGUCUAGCUGAGGUUUGGGCUCCAAAGGCUGAUAGCGCAAUUUCCUCUGUUUUGGAGGACAUAACUCCAAGCUGGUUUGCUAGGUCAGUAGUAAUAAAAGACCGUUGAGCUCCUUCAUCAAGAAGAAUAUUGGCAUCACAAUGAAGUUGCCCAGUGCUCACAGUUGCAAUGGCUGUUUUCAAAAGCGAAACAUGUCUUACUGUUGGAGAAUGGGUGGAUGGGACCAGAGUUGCAUGGGUGGGUGUUGGCUGUGGUGUAUUUGGAGUAGUGGGAAGGGCUUGUUGAUUGUUGGGAUUUUGGUGAAAGGGAGGGGUGGAGGUGUUAUUGGAGGGGGGUUAGGAGGCAUCAUUGAAUGAGGGCAUAGGGUGGUGUGGUGUUUCCCCUUACAUUUCAGACAACGGAACUUGGAUUGGCAGUUUGAUGACUUAUGAUUUCCCAAGCAAUUGAAACACAGUUUUUCCCUUUUCGCGAUUGUCCAC